AGCAAGGGCGGGGCUCUGGGGAUCCAGGCAGUGGGAAUAAAUGGGCACUCUUUCAGGAGCGAGUCAGCAACAUGGUCAUAUGUACAGUGCCCCUCUGCUAGAGACUAGGGUGUGAGUGGCCUGGCUGGGUAAGGGGAGGGUGAGGCACCUUGACUGACAGCCCGCUUGGACUGUUUGUAUGGGGGGGCUACCCCCACAGGAAACCAGGCUGCUGGUUCCAGGAGGAGGGGAGUAGAGGCGGGAAGAUCACAGCACAGCUUCCCCCACCUAGGUCUGAAUCCAGGCUGUGUCUCAGUAGCCACGUGGUCCAGGCAGGCUGCUCAGUCCCAGGGGCCCUUCUCUUAUCUCUUAAAAUGGGCGUGGUGACAGAGGGGUUGCAAUGAGGAGGAAAAUGAGUAAGUUAGUCAGUCUGUGCCAUGAGUUGAGCCCAAGACGAAUGGUGCAUUGGAAUCCUAGAGUCCAUAUGGAAGAAGAAUGAGAGGAACCCCUAAACCUGGGCUGAGUUUCAAACUAGAAGUCCGAAGACCAUAGUUGCCUCAAGAUCUAGCCAUUUCUCAGCGGACAUGCCUUGUGUGCUUGGAGGGCGGUGACAAGAUGCCCUGAAGGUGCCUGACCCAGCCUUGGAGAAGCCAGCCCAGCGUUAAGAAGGCGUGGGAGGUGCACCCGAGGCAGCAGGCCCCGGAGCCAGCUGUCCGGACUCGCAUCUGAGCCGGCUGCUUCCGCUGUGUGACUGAUAAUGACCUCACCCGGCAACAGUGCCUACCUCCCCAGAGAGCUGCGAGAGAACACAGCAGUGACUCAGGCACAGCGAGUGCUCAUCCAAGUCGGCCUGAUCGUCCUGAUCCUGCGACGACGCCGCCCCUCGUGAUGGAAAUCUGAACAUGGAUGUUUAUAGCAGUGUUAUUCAUAAUUGCCAAAACCUGGAAGCAACCAAGAUGUUCUUCAUCAGUAGAAUGUACAGCACCAAGAAAGAACCCUGAGGUAAAUGGUGGACUUUGGAUGAUGAUGAUGUAGGCUCAUUCUUGGUAAAAACGUACCCUUCCGACCAGGCUACCCCCUUGGGCAACACCUUUGACAUGGCCCCACCCAACACACAGUGGGUGGAGUGGAGAUGAUCAGCUCACCAACCAGGGCUGGAGUUCCCCUUAUGGUGCGGUGCUGGGAAGUACCUGCCCAGCCCGGAACUAUGUCUCCCAGCAGCCCAGUGACCAAUGCAAUGUGAGCAGAAGGGAGCAGAGCCCUUCACCAUGAGGUGCUAAGUAGUGGCUCUGCCAUCUUUUGUUUCUUCUCUCACUCUGUUGUCCGGAUGACUCCAGAAUGAUCUUCAGACCACAAGAUGGCAGAGGAGCCACGAGAUGGAACAGCUGUGUCCUGGAGCAGCCAUUGGAGGGAAGAGGAGAGCCAGGGGCUGGGAGCAUGAGCAUUAGACUUUGUAGUAGUGAGAAGUAAACAUGCAUAAUUAUUUCAAAUAAACAAAAGAAGUAGAGAGCAUAGUAUAAUAACCCACUUUAGCCAUCCAUCAUUCAGCUUUAAACAUUAUCAACAUUUUUCUACUCUUCUUUCAUUCACCUGCCCUGCCCUACUUUUUUUUAAAAAAAGAUUUUAUUUAUUUAUUUAUUUAUUUAUUUAUUUAUUUAUUUAUUUGAGAUAGAGAGAGAGAGAGAGAGAGCUCACGAGCAGUGGGAAAGAGCAGAGGGAGAGGGACAAGCAGACUCCGCACAGAGCACAGAGCCCCACACGGGCAUCAGUCCCAUGACCCUGAGAUCAUGACCUGAGCCAAAAUUCAGAGUCAGUCGCUCAACUGACUGAGCCACCCAGGCACCCCUGCUCCACCCUACUUUUAAAUUGUUUGCUGGGGUUUUCAAAAGUAAUUCCCAGGAAAAAUACAGAAAGACAAAAACAAAACAAAAAUCUAAACACACUUUAUCGUGCUAAGCCACGAAGAUGAGGGGCCAUUUGUCAUAGUAGUUAGCCAUCCUUGACUAAUGCAGUGGACACUUGGUACCUAGCUAUUGAACUGAACCAAGUGACCUGUUUUUCUAGGCAGUGCAGCACGAGGAGGAAUGUGUCUAGGCCUAAAGCAGCAAGAAUGCCAAGCCUUCUAGCUCUCUGAGAAGUAGUUCUGUUCUUCUGGCCCGGCUGCACCUAGCUGCUCCCAGCCGCACCCACCCACCCUACUGGCCCCUACCUCCUACUUCUUCCUUUUUCCAGGCCCUGGGCUGCUGAGGGGAGAAGCAGACCUAAGGUGGAACCAGGAAUAGAGGGUUUUCAGGGCCAGGUCUCGGCUUGGGCAGGGCUGGGCGUGGUGGGGUGAGGCUGGAGCUGACAGAGCAGGCACAAGGGUUGGAUAUGGGAGACCCACAGCCUAGCAGCAGGGUCUGGGGCCAGGGGAGCAAAACCUUUUGUGCCUUUCAGCUUGGCCUGUGUUCGCACAGAUGCAGGAUGAAGCUUUGUGGUGGGCUUGAGUCCAUUCAAAAAGUCAUUGUUAUUGAGUACAGGUUGGGCAGCCCUGUGCCUGGCACUGGGAUGCGUGAUGGGCCGGAUCCUGGCUUAGCUACUCCCCAGCUGCGUGACCUUGGGCAGGUUCCUUUACCCCUCUGAGCCUCAGACUCCCCGUAUUGAAAACGAGUAUGGGAAGAGUCUUAGCAGGGAAAUUGGCCAUGAUGUAUGGAGAAAGCCUGGCACCCAGUAGGCUCUUGAUGACUCAUAGAUAUUGCUAUUGGUUUCUGUUAACAGCAGCUAGGAGUUUGGAGAGGGUUCGCGGGCACCCAUCCAGGGAGCGGGUCAGGGCCGGAGGAUGCUGAGCCCCACCCUGUUGGGAGCUGUUUUCAGAGAAGGAGAAACAGGGAAUGCAGAGAGCCAAAGAGUUUUUUCUGGGAGCGGCCAGGUCUUAAUUUUGCAUGUCAGAGGAGGUGGGUGGGUGGAAUCCUGCAAUUCAGGGGCUCUUUCCUGGAAGGGGCUGGAUAGGCAACAAAAUGCUUCCUCCCUCAGAGACAGCCUCACAGCUGUCAGGAAGAAACAGCUGCAUGGCUUCGCUUCAAAGAGGUGAGACCUCAGUCUGUGGGGGAGCAGGACAAGAUGUGACAGCAAACAGGAACUCCCAGGCAGAUUUUCUCAGGGGGGAUGGACCAGGUUCAAAAGCCAGUCCUGCUUCCUGGCUAUGUGACCUUGGGCAAGUCACUUCACCUCUCUCGAGCCUUAGUUGUGUCAUGCUUUAAAUGAUGCUCAUCUCACAAGGCUAUUAUGGGAAGAAAAGAUAAUGCAUCUAAAAUGCCUUGUGGUGUCCUGGUACACCGGAAGCACUCAGUAAAAGGUCAUAGUAAAUCAAUCACUCACCCCUCGGGCUAAAAUGAAACUCCUUUUCUUCUCCCAAGUAACUUCUAAAUAGCGGAGGCACCCAUCGCCUCUUCUCUUUCCGUACAUUGACUCCCUGCAAGGGCUUGUUCACUUCUGCGGCCUUAAACCCCAUCUCCAUGACAUCAGCUCUGUAGAUGGCAUUUGAGGCUACAGUGCCCUUGCUAUUGUUGGUCACGGGUUCUUGAUGUUCUUCCUAAGCUGCACCCCACCCCCAGCCCUUCCCAUCGAUUCAGCAGACAGGCCUUUUUUUUUUUUUUUAAGAUUUUAUUUAUUUAUCUGAGAGAGAGUGAAAGCAUGAGGUGGGGCAGAGGGAGAGAGAGAAGAGGGAGAAGCAGACUCCCUGCCGAGCAGGGAGCUCGAUGCGGGGCUCCAUCCCAGGACCCUGGGAUCACGACCUGAGCCGAAGGCAGACGCUUAACGGCUGAACCACCCAGGCGCCCCUCAUAGCGAGAGCUUUUAAGAAGUCAAGGCCAUCUCUCCACAACUGGCUCUGGACCCCGCGAUGGCUGUCCAUCCCCCACAGAGAAAGUGCAGACGCUCCCACGGCUCUUCCUCUGCCUGUUCUCCUCCAGCACGCUGACCUCCGUCCUCAGACACAUCUCCUCCUUCUAGCUGCACCACCCCCACCCCCGCCCCACCGCGGUGUUCUCUGCCCCUCAUCAUGCUAGAUUCUUCUUCAUGAGACCACCUGCCAUGAGGUUAGACAGAGGCUACUGCCACUGAAUGGAGGUCCUGGGAGGGCUUUCGUGUCUCCUGCCAUGGUAUACCCAGCAUCAUAACAGUGCUCUGGUCCUGGCCCUCCCCUCUGACGGCUUUUGGCUGGCUUAGAGGCUCCCUGUCUCCUUGCUUCUUGCUGACCCUUGGCCCAUGUGACUGCCCCCUUUCUCCAAUAAAGCAUCAUCCUUAACCCAUUACAUGUGACGCUGUAGGAUUCGUCCCAAGCCCUGGUGCAUGACAGGGGGAGACCCAGGAGGCAUCUCUUUGCAUAACACAGACAGACACGGGGUCCAAUCCCCCUGUGCUACUUCCUAGCUGUGUCACUUGGGCAAGUUGCUGAACAUCUCUGAGCCUCUAUUUUUUCAUCUGGAAAGAAGAGUAAGAAGUGAGAAUACCUGGCUGGUGAGAUGUUAGAUGAAGAGUUGAGACAUGAAUGCAGAAGAACCUGGCACAUGUUCUCUCCCUACUUCUCUCGGUGGUGAAGUAAUAAGACUGGCUUUAUCUUCUGGAGAAAUUGGGAGGGGAUUGCAGUGGGUUAAAUGGUAGCCGCCAAAAGAUAUGCCCAUGUUCUAUCCCCCAGAACCUGUGAAUGUGACCUUAUUUGGAAAAAACAUUUUUUUUGCCAAUAUAACUAAGUAUCUUAAGAGGAGAUCCUCCUGGCUUACUGGGUGGGCCCCAAACCUAAUGACAAGUGUUAUAUUUAUAAGAGAUACACAGGGGAGGAGACCGACCGAUGAAGGCAGAAAUCGGAGUGAUGUGGCCAUAAGCCGCAGAACGCUAAGGAUUGCUGGCAGCACUGGAGGCUAAGAGAGAGGCAUGGAGCGGACCUCCCCAGAGCUUCCGGAGGAAGCCCAGCCCUGCCAACCCUCGAUUUUGGAUUGUGGCCUCUAGUAGUGUGAGAGAAUAAACCUCUGUUGUUUUAAGCCACCAAGUUUGCCACACUUUGUUACAACAGUUCCAGAAAACUAAUACAGGAACGAACUUUGGCAAAACAACAGAUGGAAGGUCCUGGCCCAGUUGGAGCCCUUUCUGGAUGGGACUUUCCACACCCAGGGGUUCAUUCCCUCUUCACCUAAGGUAGGAAAAAAGGGAAGCAAGAUUCUCCUGAUAGGGCAGAAGCAGCCUGGAAGGGCUCAGAGGGGAAGGGGCCCUGCCUGAAAGCUCUUGAGCCAGACGUCUCCUCAUGUCCCAUGUCCCUGCCCUUCGUAGAGUGGAUGGACCUCCCCGGCUCUCCCUUUGGACAGGCAGACACGAGAGAGUGGCCGCGUCAGUGGGGAAUCGGAGGCUACUUGGAUUUGGGCAAGUGGAGUGGGGGUGCCGGCUGUUUGCAGGGGUUGUUGGGGAUGCUGACUGUCUCUGGGGCCUUUGGGGGCCAAUAGGAUAUCACAGCUCCCCUUGGUGGUGGUGGGGAGGAGGAAGGAGCUGUUGGCCUAUGGGAGCAGAUUGCCCCCUGAUAGCUCAUUGCUUGGACAACACAGAACAACAUUCCAGGGCCCUUUUCAGACAGCUCUCCUCACUGCACCAGUCUGUCUCUAAAUCCACACCAUUUCUACCAUAUCACAAGCUUCCCUGGAGAACUUGGCAUCCUUAGUUUGAAUCUACCAUUUGGUGGUUCAGCUCGUCCCUUGGCUCAGUACUUUCCAUGACAGCUCCAGGAAGCAGGUGCAGGCAACACAGAGCCCAUGACCAUGGGUCCCCAGUGUGGCUGGAUGCCAGGUGUAGGCUUAUUCUCACAGAGACGUCCCUAGAGCCUCUGUAGCCCCCAAAGGAAGGUUAAAGCUCUGUGUGCACAAGUAGAUCCUAGCAAAGGUAGAGCUUGUGAUAACACUUCCUUGCAAGGUUUCUGGCCUGAGCUUUCUUAUGGGAAAAGGCACCUCCCGGUUGCUAUGAGUCACCUGGACCAGAGGGCAGGCUGAGGUGCUCACGCAAGCCGCAAGCUCUCCCCACUGCACCCCCAUCUCUAUUAGGGCCAACUCAAGGGCUGCUCAUGAAUUCUGUGUGGCUCCCACACCCAGCAGCAAGAGCAUAUCUGCUCUGGGAAUAGCAGACCCCAGAGAGUGCAGACCCCGGGGAGGCACGUGGGGGAGGCAGUCCAAGCAGUUGGUCUCACACCCUGUCACAGCGCAGAUAGAGGGUUCCUUUUUGCGGCCUGGAAAUGUGACCUACUUCCUUGUAACAAGAAUGCUACUUCAGCACUUGGAUGGAAAA